AAUAGGAUGCCUGAAAAUUUAGGGAGAUCUUGAUGUGAUUUUUAUGUCAUAUGACUUCUAUCU
rnacentral:tRNA from 1 species